rnacentral:rRNA from 1 species
CGAACGCUGGCGGCAUGCCUAACACAUGCAAGUCGAACGAGACCUUCGGGUCUAGUGGCGCACGGGUGCGUAACGCGUGGGAACCUGCCCUUAGGUUCGGAAUAACUCCCCGAAAGGGGUGCUAAUACCGGAUAAUGUCUUCGGACCAAAGAUUUAUCGCCUUUGGAUGGGCCCGCGUUGGAUUAGCUAGUUGGUAGGGUAAAAGCCUUCCAAGGCGACGAUCCAUAGCUGGUCUGAGAGGAUGAUCAGCCACACUGGGACUGAGACACGGCCCAGACUCCUACGGGAGGCAGCAGUGGGGAAUAUUGGACAAUGGGCGAAAGCCUGAUCCAGCAAUGCCGCGUGAGUGAUGAAGGCCUUAGGGUUGUAAAGCUCUUUUACCCGGGAUGAUAAUGACAGUACCGGGAGAAUAAGCUCCGGCUAACUCCGUG